rnacentral:tRNA from 1 species
GUAGUUCAGCUGGUUAGAACGCUAGCCUGUCACGCUAGAGGUCGUGGGUUCGAGUCCCAUCC